rnacentral:rRNA from 1 species
UACGUAGGUGACCAGCGUUGUCCGGAUUUACUGGGCGUAAAGAGCGCGCAGGCGGUCGUUCAAGUCGAGUGUGAAAGCCCCCGGCUCAACUGGGGAGGGUCACUCGAUACUGAUCGACUUGAAGGCAGGAGAGGGAUGCAGAAUUCCAGGUGUAGCGGUGAAAUGCGUAGAUAUCUGGAGGAAUACCGGUGGCGAAGGCGGCAUCCUGGACCGACAUUGACGCUGAGGAGCGAAAGCUAGGGGAGCAAACGGG